rnacentral:rRNA from 1 species
UACGUAGGGAGCAAGCGUUGUCCGGAAUCAUUGGGCGUAAAGCGCGCGUAGGCGGCUGAGUAAGUCUGCUCUGAAAGCCCGGGGCUCAACCCCGGGAGGCGGGUGGAUACUGCUCAGCUCGAGUCCGGAAGAGGAGUGUGGAAUUCCUGGUGUAGCGGUGAAAUGCGCAGAUAUCAGGAGGAACACCAAUGGCGAAGGCAGCACUCUGGGACGGUACUGACGCUGAGACGCGAAAGCGUGGGGAGCAAACAGG